GACGAACGCUGGCGGCGUGCUUAACACAUGCAAGUCGAGCGGUAAGGCCCUUUACGGGGGUACACGAGCGGCGAACGGGUGAGUAACACGUGGGUGACCUGCCCUCAGCUCUGGGAUAAGCCUGGGAAACUGGGUCUAAUACUGGAUAUGACUCCACGGUGCAUGUCGGUGGGGUGGAAAGCCUUGUGCGGCUGAGGAUGGGGCCCGCGGCCUAUCAGCUUGUUGGUGGGGUGANGGCCUACCAAGGCGACGACGGGUAGCCGGCCUGAGAGGGCGACCGGCCACACUGGGACUGAGACACGG
rnacentral:rRNA from 1 species